CUGUUUAUGUAAAGCAUAAACACUACAACUGAAAGCGAUAGUCUUUUGUAUUAUUUAUCGAUGAAUCAGUCGUUUUCGUUCUUCGUUUGUUUCAUUAUCGCACUGUUUACAUUCAUACGCACAACAAAUGCAUUGCCAGUGCCCACACACUGACAGAAAUGCGUUUCCUUUUCGCAAUGCAAGUAUUCGGUUUUAAACACCAAAUCGAGUGAACCAGUUCAGGGUGCAAAAAAUCAGAUCGAAAUCGCUUGGUUUUUUAUUAGAGUGUAGUUUAUUCCGAAAAACUAUCUGAUCUGAAAUAAUGUACGUUGCUAUUUCGUUCCAACGGCUUAUCUUCAUUUUAAUUUGUUUUCAACGAUGUUGCUGCCACAUACAUUUUAUAUUUAAAUAAAUCAAGGACAAAUUCGAAACCAUCAAAUCAUCAAAUAUUUCACUUAAUCUAUAAAAGUGGAAUGCUACUUCAUCAGUUUGUAAGAAACAUUCAGGUUGUAAACAACGCUCUUUCUUCUUUGAUUUUUUUUUUUUGACUAAAAAAAGACUCAUCAUGCUACUCUUUGUGAAAACUGUCGAUGGAAAAAUUAUUAAACUUCAGUAUGAUUUAUCACAAGAAGAAGAAUUAAAUGUAAAGGAAAAGACCGGAAAUGCACCAGAUCCACCGACUUUGGUAUUACGAAACAAUUCUAAAGAUGAAAAAAGGGGAAUUGAUGACGACAUUUACAGUUAAAUUCAUCCAGCUUAACAAGAUUAUAUAAAUAAAAUGCGUUGAAAUUUA